UGGGGAAUAUUGGACAAUGGGCGCAAGCCUGAUCCAGCCAUGCCGCGUGAGUGAUGAAGGCCUUAGGGUUGUAAAGCUCUUUCGUCAGGGAAGAUAAUGACGGUACCUGAAGAAGAAGCCCCGGCUAACUUCGUGCCAGCAGCCGCGGUAAUACGAAGGGGGCUAGCGUUGCUCGGAAUCACUGGGCGUAAAGCGCACGUAGGCGGCUUUCUAAGUCAGGGGUGAAAUCCCGGGGCUCAACCCCGGAACUGCCUUUGAUACUGGAGAGCUUGAGUUCGGGAGAGGUGAGUGGAACUGCGAGUGUAGAGGUGAAAUUCGUAGAUAUUCGCAAGAACACCAGUGGCGAAGGCGGCUCACUGGCCCGAUACUGACGCUGAGGUGCGAAAGCGUGGGGAGCAAACAGG
rnacentral:rRNA from 1 species